UUCCUGCGCAACGCUAAUCGGCGCAGGGUGAGUCGGCCCCUAAGGCGAGACCGAAAGGUGUAGUCGAUGGGAAACGGGUUAAUAUUCCCGUACUUAUAUAAUCAGUGAUGGAGGGACGGAGAAGGCUAGGCAAGCUUGGCGUUGGUUGUCCAAGUGAAAGUGAGUAGGCUGGAAUUUUAGGUAAAUCCGGAAUUCUAAGGCCGAGACACGAGACGAGCUCCCAAGGGAGUGAAGUUGUUGAUGCCCUGCUUCCAGGAAAAGCUUCUAAACUUAUGAUUAUAUGAACCGUACCCCAAACCGACACAGGUGGUCAGGUAGAGAAUACUAAGGCGCUUGAGAGAACUCGGGUGAAGGAACUCGGCAAAAUUGUACCGUAACUUCGGGAGAAGGUACGCCUCUGUUUGUGAACACUUCGCGUGGUAAGCAAAUGGAGGCCGCAGUGACCAGGUGGCUGGGACUGUUUAUUAAAAACACAGCACUCUGCAAACUCGUAAGAGGACGUAUAGGGUGUGACACCUGCCCGGUGCCGGAAGGUUAAUUGAUGGGGUUAGUUUUCGGACGAAGCUCUUGAUCGAAGCCCCGGUAAACGGCGGCCGUAACAAUAACGGUCCUAAGGUAGCGAAAUUCCUUGUCGGGUAAGUUCCGACCUGCACGAAUGGCGUAACGAUGGGGGCGCUGUCUCUACCCGAGACUCAGUGAAAUUGAAAUCGCCGUGAAGAUGCGGUGUAUCCGCGGCUAGACGGAAAGACCCCGUGAACCUUUACUAUAGCUUCACAGUGAACUUUGAGCAUGUUUGUGUAGGAUAGCUGGGAGGCUUUGAAGUGGGAACGCCAGUUCUCAUGGAGCCAACCUUGAAAUACCAGCCUGACAUGUUUGAGGUUCUAACUUGGUCCCCUUAUCGGGGAUGAGGACACUGUGUGGUGGGUAGUUUGACUGGGGCGGUCUCCUCCCAAAGCGUAACGGAGGAGCACAAAGGUGGGCUAAGCAUGGUCGGACAUCAUGCGGUUAGUGUAAUGGCACAAGCCCGCUUAACUGCGAGACAGACACGUCGAGCAGGUACGAAAGUAGGUCAUAGUGAUCCGGUGGUUCUGUAUGGAAGGGCCAUCGCUCAACGGAUAAAAGGUACUCCGGGGAUAACAGGCUGAUACCGCCCAAGAGUUCACAUCGACGGCGGUGUUUGGCACCUCGAUGUCGGCUCAUCACAUCCUGGGGCUGAAGCCGGUCCCAAGGGUAUGGCUGUUCGCCAUUUAAAGUGGUACGCGAGCUGGGUUUAGAACGUCGUGAGACAGUUCGGUCCCUAUCUGCCGUGGACGUUGGAGAUUUGAGGAAAGCUGCUCCUAGUACGAGAGGACCGGAGUGGACGAACCUCUGGUGUUCGGGUUGUGACGCCAGUCGCAUUGCCCGGUAGCUAUGUUCGGACAGGAUAACCGCUGAAAGCAUCUAAGCGGGAAGCCCCUUCCAAGAUGAGAUCUCCCUGGACCCUCGAGGUCCCUGAAGAGCCGUUCAAGACCAGGACGUUGAUAGGUCGGGUGUGUAAGCGCUGCGAGGCGUUGAGCUAACCGAUACUAAUUGCUCGU
rnacentral:rRNA from 12 species